rnacentral:lncRNA from 1 species
CCGUAAAUGACGUGGCCAUCAACACAGUUUCGGAAGAUCGAAAAGGCGAAACUGCUCAGCAUCAGUUCAACCAGUUGGUGCCAAGUACCGUGGAAAUAUCUGGAAUUUCCACUGGCGUAAAUCCGGCGCCUGCUAAUCCUGCAACUCCCCAGGACAAUGGCGGUUUCCGGCCGCAAAGAGCCGGCUCAAUGUUCGCUAGAAUUAUAGACGACAUCUUCCAGAUUCCCAUAACUGUGCUGCAAAAUGUGGCGCGACUCAUUACUAAUCCCUUUGCCCAAGUUAGAAAAGAAGCUGCCAAAGCCGCCUAAUAAUCCAGAAGCUAAAAGUAAAAAUGGUGAAUAAGAAUUAGGACUAACGCGAGUCUAUAAAUUAUAGACGAAGUUGUGGAAUAUUUGACGAACGUUGUAUAUACAUAGUGCCUGUUUAAACUUUAGCUUUUAUUAUAUGUGUAGGUUCUUAGAUUUAGGCUUCAUUGAACUCUGAUUCUACCCGAAUCAAGUUAAGUUGUUUUUAUGUGCGUCAAGGGCUGUUGUUGAAAAUAAAUCCUAUUUUCAUAUA